CCUACGGGUGGCAGCAGUGGGGAAUAUUGGACAAUGGGGGGAACCCUGAUCCAGCCAUGCCGCGUGUGUGAAGAAGGCCCUCGGGUUGUAAAGCACUUUCAGUGAGGAAGAACGCCUGGUGGUUAAUACCCAUCAGGAAAGACAUCACUCACAGAAGAAGCACCGGCUAACUCCGUGCCAGCAGCCGCGGUAAUACGGAGGGUGCGAGCGUUAAUCGGAAUUACUGGGCGUAAAGCGCGCGUAGGUGGCUUGAUAAGCCGGUUGUGAAAGCCCCGGGCUCAACCUGGGAACGGCAUCCGGAACUGUCAAGCUAGAGUGCAGGAGAGGAAGGUAGAAUUCCCGGUGUAGCGGUGAAAUGCGUAGAGAUCGGGAGGAAUACCAGUGGCGAAGGCGGCCUUCUGGACUGACACUGACACUGAGGUGCGAAAGCGUGGGUAGCAAACAGGAUUAGAUACCACUGUAGUC
rnacentral:rRNA from 1 species